AGAGUUUGAUCCUGGCUCAGAACGAACGUUGGCGGCGUGGAUUAGGCAUGCAAGUCGAGCGGGAUCCUGUUUUUUCAAUUCUUCGGAAGAGAAGUUUCAGGUGAGAGCGGCGAACGGGUGAGUAAUAUAUGGGUAAUUUGCCUCUUUGUCUGGGAUAGCCAUCGGAAACGAUGAUUAAUACCGGAUGUGUUCGGGUGCUGCAUAGCACCUUAUAUAAAGGCGGGGAUCUUCGGACCUGUCGCAAAGAGAUAAGCCCAUAUCCUAUCAGCUUGUUGGUGAGGUAACGGCUCACCAAGGCUUACGGGUAGCUGGUCUGAGAGGAUGAUCAGCCACACUGGAACUGAGACACGGUCCAGACUCCUACGGGAGGCUGCAGUCGAGAAUCAUUGUCAAUGCACGAAAGUGUGAACAUGCGACGCCGCGUGGAGGAAGAAGGCCUUUGGGUCGUAAACUCCUGUCAGCAGGGAGGAAAGACAGCAUUACUAAUAGUGAUGUUGUUUGACAGUACCUGCAGAGGAAGUCACGGCUAACUCUGUGCCAGCAGCCGCGGUAAUACAGAGGUGGCGAACGUUGUUCAGAUUUACUGGGCGUAAAGGGUCCGCAGACGGUCCGGUGUGUCGGAUGUGAAAGCUCACAGCUCAACUGUGGAAUUGCAUUCGAAACUGCCGGACUAGAGUACUGGAGGGGAGAAGGGAACACUUGGUGUAGCGGUGAAAUGCGUAGAUAUCAAGUGGAACACCGGAGGCGAAGGCGCUUCUCUGGACAGAUACUGACGCUCAUGGACGAAAGCUAGGGUAGCGAAAGGGAUUAGAUACCCCUGUAGUCCUAGCCGUAAACGGUGUGCACUAGACGUGGGUGGAUUUACCCCCAUCCGUGUCUGAGCUAACGCAUUAAGUGCACCGCCUGGGGAGUACGGUCGCAAGAUUAAAACUCAAAGGAAUUGACGG
rnacentral:rRNA from 1 species